CGACGACGACGGCUCACACGGCUGGAGCCUGGAGGACUACACCGACCUCCAGGAGAAGGAGCUUUGCUCGGCAGCAGCCUCCAUUGGCAGCGGCUCAUCUUCUCACCGGUCAACAGCGACCUGACUGAGCAGGUGGCUAGAAUCCGGUCAUCAUUACCUUCCGUGUCGCCAACAACAGAAUGCCAUCCAUGAGAAAAUGGAACCCAGUUCUUGCUGGUGAACGUAAAAUUCUACUUGAAGUUCUCCAACCGCAAGCAACUUUGGAGUCCAACAAUCACUGAUUUGUUUGACCGAGGAGCACGUCCAGAAGUACAUGUGGUGUUAUCUGAAGCUUGCUGGAAGAUAUACCUCUUUUUUCUUUAGUUUUUUAGCAUUAAUCCUUUCUGAAGAUGUAAAUAAAGUAGCUGCAUAGUCUUUUUUUUAACAUGCAAAGGCACCAAAAGGUGCCACAUAUUUCAUUCAGCUCAAAGAGAUUGAACAAAGUGUGUUACAUAGAUCUGCCAAAGAUGGAAACAAAAGAUGCAGAAACUAUGAGGCGGAGCUGAAGAAAGGAUCCUAGUAGGGCAAAGUGGCCAGAAGAACUAUGCCGUGAGCAACAUGAUCAGAACUAGAGGAGAAAACAUCUGAGAAAAAGAAAACAAAGAAGACUCUGAUCUCCUCCGAACAAG